GAUGAACGCUGGCGGCGUGCCUAAUACAUGCAAGUCGAGCGAACAGAUGAGGAGCUUGCUCCUCUGACGUUAGCGGCGGACGGGUGAGUAACACGUGGAUAACCUACCUAUAAGACUGGGAUAACUUCGGGAAACCGGAGCUAAUACCGGAUAAUAUAUUGAACCGCAUGGUUCAAUAGUGAAAGACGGUUUUGCUGUCACUUAUAGAUGGAUCCGCGCCGCAUUAGCUAGUUGGUAAGGUAACGGCUUACCAAGGCAACGAUGCGUAGCCGACCUGAGAGGUUGAUCGGCCACACUGGAACUGAGACACGGUCCAGACUCCUACGGGAGGCAGCAGUAGGGAAUCUUCCGCAAUGAGCGAAAGCCUGACGGAGCAACGCCGCGUGGGUGAUGAAGGUCUUCGGAUCGUAAAACUCUGUUAUUAGGGAAGAACAAAUGUGUAAGUAACUAUGCACGUCUUGACGGUACCUAAUCAGAAAGCCACGGCUAACUACGUG
rnacentral:rRNA from 1 species